rnacentral:rRNA from 1 species
GACGAAGGUGGCUAGCGUUGCUCGGAUUUACUGGGCAUAAAGCGCGCGUAGGUGGUCGUGUAAGCGGGGGAUGAAAGCCCAUGGCUCACCCAUGGAACUGUCCCCCGGACUGCACGGCUCGAGGAAGGAAGGGGAGAAUGGAAUUCCCGGUGUAGCGGUGAAAUGCGUAGAUAUCGGGAGGAACGCCGGUGGCGAAAGCGACUACCUGGCCUGUUCUUGACGCUGAGGCGCGAAAGCUAGGGGAGCAAACGGG